AGAGUUUGAUCAUGGCUCAGGACGAACGCUGGCGGCGUGCCUAAUACAUGCAAGUAGAACGCUGACUAUUUUAGCUUGCUAGAGUAGAAGGAGUUGCGAACGGGUGAGUAACGCGUAGGUAACCUGCCUACUAGCGGGGGAUAACUAUUGGAAACGAUAGCUAAUACCGCAUAACAGUGUUUAACACAUGUUAGAUGCUUGAAAGAUGCAAAUGCAUCACUAGUAGAUGGACCUGCGUUGUAUUAGCUAGUUGGUGGGGUAACGGCCUACCAAGGCGACGAUACAUAGCCGACCUGAGAGGGUGAUCGGCCACACUGGGACUGAGACACGGCCCAGACUCCUACGGGAGGCAGCAGUAGGGAAUCUUCGGCAAUGGGGGCAACCCUGACCGAGCAACGCCGCGUGAGUGAAGAAGGUUUUCGGAUCGUAAAGCUCUGUUGUAAGAGAAGAACGUGUGUGAGAGUGGAAAGUUCACACAGUGACGGUAACUUACCAGAAAGGGACGGCUAACUACGUGCCAGCAGCCGCGGUAAUACGUAGGUCCCGAGCGUUGUCCGGAUUUAUUGGGCGUAAAGCGAGCGCAGGCGGUUUAAUAAGUCUGAAAGUUAAAAGGCAGCGGCUUAACCAUUGUUCGCUUUGGAAACUGUUAAACUUGAGUGCAGAAGGGGAGAGUGGAAUUCCAUGUGUAGCGGUGAAAUGCGUAGAUAUAUGGAGGAACACCGGUGGCGAAAGCGGCUCUCUGGUCUGUAACUGACGCUGAGGCUCGAAAGCGUGGGGAGCAAACAGGAUUAGAUACCCUG
rnacentral:rRNA from 1 species